rnacentral:tRNA from 1 species
GUGCCCGUAGCUCAGUCGGUUAGAGCGCCUGGUUGUGGUCCAGGAGGUCGUCGGUUCGAACCCGAUCGGGCACCCCA